ACUCCUACGGGAGGCAGCAGUGGGAAUAUUGCACAAUGGGCGCAAGCCUGAUGCAGCCAUGCCGCGUGUGUGAAGAAGGCCUUCGGGUUGUAAAGCUCUUUCAGCGAGGAAGAUAAUGACUGUACUCGCAGAAGAAGCCCCGGCUAACUCCGUGCCAGCAGCCGCGGUAAUACGGAGGGGCUAGCGUUGUUCGGAAUUACUGGGCGUAAAGCGCACGUAGGCGGAUCAGAAAGUCAGAGGUGAAAUCCCAGGGCUCAACCUGAACUGCUUUGAAACUCCUGAUCUUGAGGUCGAGAGAGGUGAGUGAAUUCCGAGUGUAGAGGUGAAAUUCGUAGAUAUUCGGAGGAACACCAGUGGCGAAGGCGGCUCACUGGCUCGAUACUGACGCUGAGGUGCGAAAGUGUGGGAGCAAACA
rnacentral:rRNA from 1 species